GAAAAUUAAAAAGAGAGAUCAUAUUUCUGUCAGAGCCUGAGUCUGUGUGUGUUGGUGAAUGUGCUGGUGUGUGUGUGUUUCGUGUACUUGUCUUCAUAACCAUUCAGUGUUUCACAGUUGGUGCUGGAGUUCUCAGGUACGCUGGAUGACAGGUGUUUCCUAUCUGCAGAUUGCAUGGAGGAGUACGUAAGUGGGAGGCUGCCAGCAUUUCGACGCCAGAGUGUUUGCCUUAGUGAUUUUUACCUGAGGCUUUGUUUACCUUGCUGAGUUCCGACUUCGUUCCAGAGUUUCUCUGAGCAUCUGGAUAAUCAAUUACUGAGUUUCGGAUAUACCUUCUUGUAGAUUUCUCACACUACCGUCUGUACCUUUUGGACACGGACCAAGCUGGUGGCUUCCCGUUUCCUUCAACUCCAGGACCAAGGCAUAAGCAUACCCUGUUCCAUCCUCCAUCACAAGCGUUGGCACCAAGACCACAACUAAAAGACAACUGAACAAUCUCUCUUCGCAAGUUAAGACUCUGGAUCUCUCUACCCCUGGUGGUUCAGGCUACAGCAAUCUAUUGGUGUUUCCAGUCCUCGUCCCUAAUUACUUUGCUGACAAUAAAACCCGUAAAAC